rnacentral:rRNA from 1 species
UACGGGGGGGGCAAGCGUUGUUCGGAAUUACUGGGCGUAAAGGGCUCGUAGGCGGCCAACUAAGUCACACGUGAAAUCCCCAGGCUUAACCUGGGAACUGCGUGUGAUACUGGAUGGCUUGAAUUCGGGAGAGGGAUGCAGAAUUCCAGGUGUAGCGGUGAAAUGCGUAGAUAUCUGGAGGAAUACCGGUGGCGAAGGCGGCAUCCUGGACCGACAUUGACGCUGAACGGCGAAAGCUAGGGGAGCAAACGGG